UACGUAGGUGACAAGCGUUGUCCGGAUUUACUGGGCGUAAAGAGCGCGCAGGCGGUCGGUCAAGUCGAGUGUGAAAGCCCCCGGCUCAACUGGGGAGGGUCAUUCGAUACUGAUCGACUCGAAGGCAGGAGAGGGUAGUGGAAUUCCCGGUGUAGUGGUGAAAUGCGUAGAUAUCGGGAGGAACACCAGUGGCGAAGGCGGCUCACUGGUCCGGUACUGACGCUGAGGUGCGAAAGCGUGGGGAGCAAACAGG
rnacentral:rRNA from 1 species